ACAGAAAUAGAAAGUCAUAAACGUCGUAAUCAAAACAAGCAGAAUAAAAAUUGGGCAGAAAAUUUAAAUUUUUGUUUGUUUAAAUAAGCUUCGAGAAAUGAGAUUAAAAUUUUCUAAUUUUGAAAGACUAUGUAGAAUGGACCUCAUUGAGGAAAUCCUUAUCUUAGGAAUUCCUUUAAAGAAUAUUAAGCAUAUGUAUUAUCUUUAAAGAACAUUUAUAACAGUAUGCAAAGAAGCACAAUAUUUGUUCAAUAUAUCUAUACAAAUAGUUCACAGCCAGUGGCACACAAAUUUUUUUUCUUCUCUUUCUUCAAUGCCCACCUGUGUUAACAUUUUCGUCAAUUCAGGCAUUUACAGGGCAGAGAUUAGUUGGCCUCUCUUUCAGGGGCACCAUAUUAGACUUAUUCUGAAGCUUUGUGUGAUUUUUGGAAAAAUUUGUUUAAGCUAAAUGAAAGAAGAAAAGAAAACAACAUAGUUGUUCAUUCUAAUCCAGUUAACAAAGUGGUUUGAUAUUUUGGAAAGGAAUCUGACAGAAUGAUCUUGGUAAAGCUUUAGAAGAACUUAAGAAUGCAGAUUUGAAGAAUUGAACACAAAAAAUCUGGUUUGAUGAAAAAAUCCUUCUAUCACAAAUGUUGAAGCAUGUUUCAAAAGGACAGAAAUUAUUCUAUUUCUCUUGAAGAUGACGUUGAUGAGAACAAGUAAAUGAGACAUAAAUACAAUAAGCAGAAUUUUCUUUAACAGCUGCAACUACUUGGAAUCUC